AAUAUUGCACAAUGGACGGAAGUCUGAUGCAGCAACGCCGCGUGAGGGAUGAAGGCCCUAGGGUUGUAAAGCUCUUUCACCGGUGAAGAUAAUGACGGUAACCGGAGAAGAAGCCCCGGCUAACUUCGUGCCAGCAGCCGCGGUAAUACGAAGGGGGCUAGCGUUGUUCGGAAUUACUGGGCGUAAAGCGCACGUAGGCGGAUCGGUCAGUUAGGGGUGAAAUCCCGGGGCUCAACCCCGGAACUGCCUUUAAUACUGCCGGUCUAGAGUCCGAGAGAGGUGAGUGGAAUUCCGAGUGUAGAGGUGAAAUUCGUAGAUAUUCGGAGGAACACCAGUGGCGAAGGCGGCUCACUGGCUCGGUACUGACGCUGAGGUGCGAAAGCGUGGGGAGCAAACAG
rnacentral:rRNA from 1 species